rnacentral:rRNA from 1 species
GAACCUGCGGAAGGAUCAUUACCGAGUGCGGGCCCUCUGGGUCCAACCUCCCAUCCGUGUCUAUCUGUACCCUGUUGCUUCGGCGUGGCCACGGCCCGCCGGAGACUAACAUUUGAACGCUGUCUGAAGUUUGCAGUCUGAGUUUUUAGUUAAACAAUCGUUAAAACUUUCAACAACGGAUCUCUUGGUUCCGGCAUCGAUGAAGAACGCAGCGAAAUGCGAUAAUUAAUGUGAAUUGCAGAAUUCAGUGAAUCAUCGAGUCUUUGAACGCACAUUGCGCCCCCUGGUAUUCCGGGGGGCAUGCCUGUCCGAGCGUCAUUGCUGCCCUCAAGCACGGCUUGUGUGUUGGGCUUCCGUCCCUGGCAACGGGGACGGGCCCAAAAGGCAGUGGCGGCACCAUGUCUGGUCCUCGAGCGUAUGGGGCUUUGUCACCCGCUCCCGUAGGUCCAGCUGGCAGCUAGCCUCGCAACCAAUCUUUUUAACCAGGUUGACCCUCGGAUCAGGUAGGGAUACCCGCUGAACUUAAGCAUAUCAAU